AUAGGCGCAGGACUCUGAGGGGCCGGGCGGAAGAAGCCGCGUUCCGUCGCUCGGUUGGGGCGGGUCGAGGCGGGCCCCGCCCGGAGCUCCGGGGCGCUCCCCGGCCCAGAGCGGCAGGGACAGCCGCGGCCCCCGCCUUCCCCCGGAGAGAUCUCGCUUUUCCCCGGUGGGACCCGUUCCUCCCGCCCUUCCCCUGCGCGCGAUUUACCUUGGCACGAACAGCAGCCGCAGCCGCCUUAAGGCGCAUGCGCAAAGCGCCUCCGCCGAGCCACCUUAAACCAGCCACCGUGGCGCUGAGAGCUCGCCUGUGAUUGGGCGCCUGCCGCGUGAUCAAAGUAACAGGCACGCUGAUUGGAGGAGAGCUGAGGCGGCUGUUGUCUCGGCAACCGGGUGUCCGCAUUCCCGGUGCCGCCGAGGGCCGGGAAUGCACCGGCAGGAGCGGGCAGCUACGGGCGGAUACAGACGGAUACAGACCCACACCUCACCUGAGCGGGGUCGGAGGUCUCCCCGCUGCUCCCCGCGCCGCCUCAGGCCCUCAGGUACCCGCCGUUCCCAGCGUGCCCCGCGCCGCCUCACCUGGGCGGGGCUGGAGCGUGAGGCGACUCCUGGUGGCGCCCUCAGGUUUCAAGAUUUCCUUCUAAACACCACAGGAAAGGGAUCUCAAACUGGAGAAAAAGAUAUUUAAGUCUCAGUCAGAGGGAUUUCAGUACAACCAACUCAUCCCAGCAUGGAUUCCCUCACCAAGGGAGUAACAUCUUCCUUCCAGUCAAAGACUUCCCACCUAACAAGGAACAAUGAACUCACUCCAGAUUUAUUCCAGAGUCUGCAGCCUCAGUCACACAAACCUGCCAGGGAAGCAAAGAAAACUCCUUCCAGCCCUGCAGAGCCACACCACACACCGAGCUCCUCAGCUGCCUGCCUGAUGAUGCAAGGAGUGAAUAAGCACGAAUAAAGACACAGAAACUGGGUGUUGUUUGUAGAAGUGAGGAGCAGAGCCCUCCGCCCAGCGCUGGGGAUACCAGAGCUCUUGCACAACUCGGCUCUCAGCCUGCUGCUCCUUUUUAUGCAUCUCUGUCCCUGUGGGCACUUUUCCACCAGGAGCACUGGGGAAGUUUUCCUUCCUCCCCAGCUGGAGGAGGAAGCAGCUCCUGGUCUGUGAGCAGCAGGGCUGGGAUGCCAGAGUGGGAUUCCUGUGUCAGGAUUUCCCUCAGACUCCACACACCAUGAGCCUGUGCUGGCCUGCCAGGCUGGCUCACGGGCAGCUAAUUAGUGGUGCUCGGUUCUAAGAAUUGGAAGAGGAUCAUUAAUUAAAAUUGGUUUGAAGCUUCCAGUUUUGUAGAUGCUGAGUAAUUAAA